rnacentral:rRNA from 1 species
ACCGACAGCAAUAUGAAGGCCAGGCUGAAGACUUUGCCGGAUUAGCUGAGAGGUGGUGCAUGGCCGUCGUCAGUUCGUACUGUGAAGCAUCCUGUUAAGUCAGGCAACGAGCGAGACCCACGCCCACAGUUGCCAGCGUACUCUCCGGAGUGACGGGUACACUGUGGGACCGCCGCUGCUAAAGCGGAGGAAGGAAUGGGCAACGGUAGGUCAGUAUGCCCCGAAUAUCCCGGGCUACACGCGAGCUACAAUGGUUGGUACAAUGGGUAUCUACCCCGAAAGGGGACGGGAAUCUCCUAAAACCAAUCUUAGUUCGGAUUGAGGGCUGCAACUCGCCCUCAUGAAGCUGGAAUCCGUAGUAAUCGCGUUUCAACAGAACGCGGUGAAUACGUCCCUGCUCCUU